UACGUAGGGUGCAAGCGUUUGUCCGGAAUUAUUGGGCGUAAAGAGCUCGUAGGCGGUUCGUCGCGUCGGCUGUGAAAUCCCGAGGCUCAACCUCGGGUCUGCAGUCGAUACGGGCGGACUGGAGUCCGGAAGAGGAGAGUGGAAUUCCUGGUGUAGCGGUGAAAUGCGCGGAUAUCAGGAAGAACACCCGUGGCGAAGGCGGCUCUCUGGGACGGUACUGACGCUGAGACGCGAAAGCGUGGGGAGCGAACAGG
rnacentral:rRNA from 1 species